CCUACGGGUGGCAGCAGUGGGGAAUAUUGGGCAAUGGGCGCAAGCCUGACCCAGCAACGCCGCGUGAAGGAAGAAGGCUUUCGGGUUGUAAACUUCUUUUGUCAGGGAGCAAUUGGGUCCACGCGUGGGCUUAGCGAGAGUACCUGAAGAAAAAGCAUCGGCAAACUCCGUGCCAGCAGCCGGGGUAAUACGGAGGAUGCGAGCGUUAUCCGGAUUUAUUGGGUUUAAAGGGUGCGUAGGCGGAAUAUCAAGUCAGCGGUAAAAAUUCGGGGCUCAACCCCGUCGUGCCGUUGAAACUGAUGUUCUUGAGUGGGCGAGAAGUAUGCGGAAUGCGUGGUGUAGCAGUGAAAUGCAUAGAUAUCACGCAGAACUCCGAUUGCGAAGGCAGCAUACCGGCGCCCAACUGACGCUGAAGCACGAAAGCGUGGGUAUCGAACAGGAUUAGAUACCCCAGUAGUC
rnacentral:rRNA from 1 species